rnacentral:rRNA from 1 species
CCUCCGUGUGUCCGCCGUUCUUACUAUUUUUCCCUUUCCUUCAUUCUUACCCAGCCAUGCCUCGUGCAGGAAGACGGCUCUAUGAGUUGUAAACUGCUUUUGUACAAGGGUAAACCUGAAUACGUGUAUUCAGCUGAAAGUACUGUACGAAUAAGGAUCGGCUAACUCCGUGCCAGCAGCCGCGGUAAUACGGAGGAUCCAAGCGUUAUCCGGAUUUAUUGGGUUUAAAGGGUGCAUAGGCGGAUUGAUAAGUUAGAGGUGAAAUGUCCGAGCUUAACUCGGGAACUGCCUCUAAUACUGUUGAUCUAGAGAGUAGAUGCGGUAGGCGGAAUGUAUGGUGUAGCGGUGAAAUGCUUAGAGAUCAUACAGAACACCGAUUGCGAAGGCAGCUUACCAAUCUAUAUCUGACGUUGAGGCACGAAAGCGUGGGGAGCAAACAGGAUUAGAUACCCUGUAGUC